rnacentral:piRNA from 1 species
UGCCAAGGCCUUGGGUUCCAUCCCUGAUA